rnacentral:rRNA from 1 species
GACGAACGCUGGCGGCGUGCCUAAUACAUGCAAGUAGAACGCUGAAGAGAGGAGCUUACACUUCUUGGAUGAGUUGCGAACGGGUGAGUAACGCGUAGGUAACCUGCCUUGUAGCGGGGGAUAACUAUUGGAAACGAUAGCUAAUACCGCAUAACAAUGGAUGACACAUGUCAUUUAUUUGAAAGGGGCAAUUGCUCCACUACAAGAUGGACCUGCGUUGUAUUAGCUAGUAGGUGAGGUAAUGGCUCACCUAGGCGACGAUACAUAGCCGACCUGAGAGGGUGAUCGGCCACACUGGGACUGAGACACGGCCCAGACUCCUACGGGAGGCAGCAGUAGGGAAUCUUCGGCAAUGGGGGCAACCCUGACCGAGCAACGCCGCGUGAGUGAAGAAGGUUUUCGGAUCGUAAAGCUCUGUUGUAAGUCAAGAACGGGUGUGAGAGUGGAAAGUUCACACUGUGACGGUAGCUUACCAGAAAGGGACGGCUAACUACGUG